ACGCAACUACGAGAGCGUUUCGAGAUACACGUCUCGCACCGGACCAGCGAUGGUAGUCAAUUUGAUUAUCGAUAGAGAAAGUUCCACCGUCUCUUCGUAACAGUCAGAGUCAUAGACCCACUGAUCACGAUGAGUAAAGGAGAUGAUACUAGGCUAGGAUAUUGUAUUAAUUUCUCAACAAAAUACCGCUCGUCGCGUUUCCACAAAUUAAUGGGAAAAUGUGAAUUCUUUUGAAGAAAGCUCAUGAGGUAAAUACGAAACAAUAAAUGCAGUGUGAAUUGUUGUUAUCACAGUAUAUUUAUCAUAAUAUGAUACAAUUGUUGAUGUGUUCUUGUGCAGUGAAUCGUAUUGACUAUUUCUGAAUCAGUGAUGUAAUAAGAUUCAAAGCUUUGCAUAUUGGGAACUGAAAGACGUAGUUUUGACUGCUAUGAUUUAGUUUUUGAUAGAUACUUUCAUUUGAGGCAUAGCCAAUGAUAUUGAUGAAAUUUGAUCGUCUUACUGAUGAGUGUAAAUACUUGAAUACGACUGUGUGUAAAUUUUUCUCGAACUAUCUACAAAGGCAUUAAUGAAUUAGGAAAAGGAAAUGGAAAGGUUGAAAUUUAAGUAAAAGUUACGUGGAAUGGGGAAAGCAAUAUUCUCAUUGAUAGUGGGCGUGUCGGGAUAGUUUGUUCGAAAUGUUUAAUCAAUCUCAUGCCUGGUCUUUUGUCCUGUUGACCAUGUGGUCCCAUGAGUAAUUGCGUUGAUAUUUGAAGAGUAACCGCCCAAUUCGACACAUUAUCGAAAAUUAAAUAUUUUAUUAAUAAUGCAUAAACUCGGACAAUGUGGCAAUGUGUUUUUUAUUUAUUCGUUUUCUUAGCAAUUAUCCAAGAAAUUCUCAGAGACAAAUAUAAUCAAUAUGUGGCCCAUAUGAGAAAGUACUAUAGAUAUCUGAAAUUGCGCAGGUAUGGCAACAUACACUUAUGUGAUAGUACUGCAAAUAUCUGAGAUAGCGCAUGUGUGCAUCAACAUUUUAUAUUUUGUUUUGUUUUGUUUUCUUUUUUUUUUUUUUUUUUUCCUUUUUUUGAUUACUUAUUCUAUACAAAAAAUAACAUAUGUAAAUAUAUGUAAAUAACUCGAUAAAGAAAAUUUUAUGGAUUACAACGAAUUGAAUGAUUUUUCUGAGAAAUGAAAGCAUUAUGACCGUAAAAUCACGUUAGACAGAAUUUUCUAAAUAUAAAAGUAAGUAUCACAAAAUUAUAUCUUUUACUUUUUCAAAGAAUUAAUGAUUCUAAAAUUGAUCUCGUAAAAGUUUUAACAGUUGCGAUUUAUUUUAUCAAGCCCUUCAGACUAUUGUUGGUAUUAUUUGAAUCAGAUAUAGGAACCAAUGAAUAAGUACUAAUUAAUUUUCGUAUGAUUUAUUGACAUGGAUUCGUGUCAACAGCAUGAGUAUAUAAGAGCGAGCAAAACGUCGAAACGACAUGAUUUGACGCUAGUCGACUUAUAAAAAUUUAUCAAAAUGAAAAAAAUUUACUUUCUCGCAUUCCUUGCUCUUCUUGUCUUCGUUGCCGUAUCGGCACAAGAAAAAGGAACUGCUCUAAAUGUACAAUUUGGAAAACUCGAAGAAUUUAACUGGGUUUGCAUAAAUGAUGGAAAUAAAUUAUGCACUAAACUCUGUAUUAAAAAAGGCAAGACAAUAGGACGUUGUAAUAAACGAGGGGCAUGUUUAUGUUUCUGAAGACAAUUGAUAACUAUGAUAAAUUAGUAAUUAGCUAAGCCUCAUGAAUUCUUUAUGAAAUAAGUAUUAUGAAAUAAGUAUUUUAAUUUGUAAUGAAUAUUGUGACAAUACAUUCAUAUAUUAUUGAAACUUUGAAUUUUAUUUGUUUAUUUUUCAUUACAUAUACUAUAGAAAAAGUAACUUGAUAAUUAAGAACUCUUUUUAGAACUUUUAUCUGAAGUCAAUGUGAUUAUGUAAUUGUAUGUAUUAAAAAUAAUCUCACAGACUAAUCUUAACAAUGAGAAAUAAUUAUAGAAAAUGUAAGGAUUAUUGUAUUUUAAAAAUUAUAAUGGAUGAUAUAU